AGUGGAACUGUAAUGGAUCAUCUGUGGAGAGGGACACACACAGGCCCUUUUGCAGGAACUCCCUGAGGGGAUUCUUGGAAUACUCCAGGAACAGGCUGUUGUUGCUGAGUGGAGACAUGGCAAUGGGCACCUGGGCCAAGUAAAACAGAGACUGACCUUCUUCAGAUUGAGUCCAUGAGAGAUGUUGUCAGCUGUGAGGAAGGCUGACACCAGAUGAGUGAUGGAUCCUGCCUCGCCACAGUGAGGACGGAACUGGAAGCUCCCACUCCUUGGCCUGAUGCAAGCCGAUGGGACAGUCCUCAGGGACAGUGAACAUGGACAAGGUGUUCUUAGUAUCUUCUGCCUUCAGAGCUGAAGCGUACACUUUCUCAGCCAUGAGUCGAACUUUCUCAUCCACCUCUUGGAGAGAGAUCUUGGUGAACUGACGCGGCAUUUCUGCAAGGAGUGGUGUAAUCAGAAUAAAUGUUCUUUCUGUUAUUAGUCAAUGUUCUUCAUCAGGUGUAGGAACACCUUGUUAUGUACAUGGUGUACAUUUGUUUAAAGUAUUCUAGGAACUUCCAUUACUUUGGGCUGUACUUAAUCUAUUCAACAAUAUCCCUUACUAGGUCAAAUGAGACUUGAAAGCGUACUGUGUGUUUGUCUUAUGACUGAAUUACCAACAUGAUGCCAAAACCUGAUAACUGAGACUCAUGCUUUGAAAUGAAUGACAUGGCACUAUUAGUAGGCCUAUUGUUUGUAAUAUUUUGGCUAAGAAAUUAUUUGCUGCAUUUUGCCAAAAUGUAAAACCAUUAUUGAAGGUGGUAAAAUAAACCGGAGGUAAUUAUG